UCGAGAAUCAUUCACAAUGGGGGAAACCCUGAUGGUGCGGCGCCGCGUGGGGGAUAAGGUCUUCGGAUUGUAAACCCCUGUCAUGUGGGACAUUAAAAGAUAGUACCACAAGAGGAAGAGACGGCUAACUCUGUGCCAGCAGCCGCGGUAAUACAGAGGUCUCAAGCGUUGUUCGGAAUCACUGGGCGUAAAGCGUGCGUAGGCGGUUUCGUAAGUCGUGUGUGAAAGGCGGGGGCUCAACCCCCGGACUGCACAUGAUACUGCGAGACUAGAGUAAUGGAGGGGGAACCGGAAUUCU
rnacentral:rRNA from 1 species